ACGCGCGGAACCUUACCAGGUCUUGACAUCCUUCGCUACUUCUAGAGAUAGAAGGUUCCCCUUCGGGGGACGAAGUGACAGGUGGUGCAUGGUUGUCGUCAGCUCGUGUCGUGAGAUGUUGGGUUAAGUCCCGCAACGAGCGCAACCCUUGAUCUUAGUUGCCAGCAUUAAGUUGGGCACUCUAAGGUGACUGCCGGUGACAAACCGGAGGAAGGUGGGGAUGACGUCAAAUCAUCAUGCCCCUUAUGACCUGGGCUACACACGUGCUACAAUGGAUGGUACAAAGGGCAGCAAAGCGGCGACGCCUAGCAAAUCCCAUAAAACCAUUCUCAGUUCGGAUUGUAGGCUGCAACUCGCCUACAUGAAGCUGGAAUCGCUAGUAAUCGCGGAUCAGCAUGCCGCGGUGAAUACGUUCCCGGGCCUUGCACACACCGCCCGU
rnacentral:rRNA from 1 species